rnacentral:tRNA from 1 species
GCCUGGGUGGUUCAGUCGGUUAAGCAUCUGACUUCGACGCAGGUCAUGAUCUCAGGGUUCGUGGGUUCGAGCCCCACAUCGGGCU